rfam:Enterococcus faecalis 13-SD-W-01 genomic scaffold Scaffold394, whole genome shotgun sequence.
GGUUGGGCGCAAGCUUCAAGGAUCAUGUUCUUCAAGGGGUGAGAAGAA